rnacentral:lncRNA from 1 species
CCCCAGUGCUUGAAGACCCUGAUAAUUUUGGUAUGAGGCUGGGGCAGGGAGCAUGCUCAUAUCUCACUGUGGACAGGUUUGUGACAUCAAGGCCCUAAAUCUGGCAUUGCUCAUUUUUUCCCUUUCUGCCCUCCAUCCCUUCCCAAGCUCAUCAGAUCACACUUGCUAGUGCAGUAAGCCAUCCUAUUCACCAUAAUCAGAUUCAAGCUUUGCGCUCACUUCAACUCUUUAAUCCUUUUGCUUUUUUUCUCAUCUGUGGAAUUGCCUUCCUGUAUUCAUUCAGUUCCACUCUUCACUUCAGUAUCAACCACAUAUCACACCUCUCCACCUCCACACCAACACCACCAUCACUGUAAUCUCUUCUAUUUUGACUGACACUGUCCACCAUAUUAUUUUUCUAUUAUCACUAAUUUUGUUGUUAUAUUAUUUUGUGCCCCAUAUCUCCCCCCCCCCCCCCCCCCCCCCCCCCCCCCCCCCCCCCCCCCCCCCCCCCCCCCCCCCCCCCCCCCCCCCCCCCCCCCCCCCCCCCCCCCCCCCCCCCCCCCCCCCCCCCCCCCCCCCCCCCCCCCCCCCCCUUUCAGCUACUGCCACAUUGUUGAGAAGUUACCAGCUUCUGUCAUUCAUUUCUUCCAUAAGAAUUAACCUCGAUUACUGUAGCCUUUGUGCCAUGUCACUGUGUGGUAAUUGUGAAAUGUAAUGUUUUCAUUGUAGGUACAAUGGAAACCAAAAAGAAAAUCAGAAUUUUUGGUGAGUCAGGAAGAGUUCAGAAACUUGUCAAACAUUUCCAACCACCACUCCAGGUUCAAAAUGGAAACCCUUCAGAAAUGGAAGAAUGGAAAACCAAGCCCCAUGUGAACUCUGACACAAAAUCCAGAAGACCAUCAGAUAUUCAGCCGAACACUGGCCCAAUUCCAAAGGCUGUGGUGCAUCCCUUGAAACCGCCUCUGGUUCCUAAACCUCUUGUCAAACCAAGCACAAUCGAGUCGAGUGAAAAGAGGCAAUUGCAAAACAUGCCAGAGCGUCGUGAAGGGGAUCUGGUCUGUGGUGAGAGUAAAAUAAAUGAGACUACAACAUUUGCUCAAAACAGCAACGACUCAGCACCAGGAGCAGGAAAAUUGGACAAAUUAUUUGAAAAUUCCAAGGAGAGCAGCAGCCUCCAAGCUUAUCCAACGAGUUGUUUGGAUCCACCAGAGAUUAUGAACAAGCCUGUGCUUGUCAUCCAAGAUGAAAAUGAUUCCUGGAAAACCUCUUUUUGUCCAGACAUCAUUCUUGGUCAAGAAUUGGAGAAAAACAUGGAUUUUCCUGAAGUACUGGCAGAUCAGAAGCAAGAAAACUGUGGUGAUGAAGAUGAAGGAAUAUAUGAAAAUUUGGAGGAAUACAUAAGAUACGAUGAUGUUGUGGGGACACAUGGAGUAUCAGAGAGAAUGAACACUGAGAAAUUUGACAAAAACCCAUUGAAGGAAAAAAGUCAUUCCAAAAGUGGUUUAGACAUUGAAAAAAAGAACAAUGCAUCUGGUGGUUGCAAAAGUGGAGAAAACGGAGUCUCUGCUCCUAAAAAGAACAUAAAGACACUGUUGUUUGAUUUCUUCAAAAUUGAAUCGGCGAACUGCAACAUGAGCUGUAACCACGAUGUUCCACUUGUAAGAAAAUAUUCGGAUUGUACCGAGAAUAUGAACAAGCAGAUGCUGCUUGUGGAAGAUGACUCAGAUGACUGGAGGAACGCAUGCUCUGUGUUCAAACCCUGCCAUGAAGCGCAGAAAAAGAUGGAUUUGCACCAAGUGCUGGCAAAUGAGAAACAAAGAUAUUGUGAUGAUGUAGGGGAAGAAACUUUGAAAAACGUUGAGGAAAACAUGUAUGAUGAUGUUGAAGUUAGUGUUGAGACAAAAUGGGCGAUGAAAGAUCAUUCACAAAGCCCUCAGUGCAUCAAACAAAGUAGUUCAUGUUUUCGAGAAAUACCGACUGAAGCAAAGGAAAAGGAGCCAAAGGUAUGUAACAUUGUAAAUCAACAUCUCAUAGUGUGUGCUUUUGUGACGUCUCAAACCUCUGGCUGCCCAAAUGCUCACAACGGCCUGUCGGGGCAGCCAAAGGGGUUCGUGACAUCACAAAAGUGAGGCUAAAUGAUAAGUUUUCCAAAAAUUAUAAUUUAGCCUCACAAGAAUAUUACAAAAAAAAUAGCAUCCAUUAACCUUUAGAGGCAGCAUUUUUGACAGCUGCACCUAAAUCGGAAUUUUAUUCAUUCAAAAUGAAACGUUGGAUUUUUCUAUUAACAGAUAUUCUGUUUCAUAAAAUAUAAUUGUACUUUUGGCAAAGAUGUGCAAAGUAUGUCAUAAACUUAAUUCUGAUACCAAUGUGUGACAAUGUAUUGCCAAUGUGGUGUGAUAUUAGCAAGUGUUUUUUAACGGGUGUCAUUAUCAAUUUGAGAGAAUGUAAUCAGGUGCCCCAUCUGUUUUCAAAGAUCAUGUUGUAUUCUAUUUAUUUUAUUUUUGGUAAAGGUAGACAUCUAAUCAAUGCAACAGGGAAAUGGAAGCUAAU